CAGCAGCCGCGGUAAUACGAAGGGGGCUAGCGUUGCUCGGAAUGACUGGGCGUAAGGGGCGCGUAGGCGGCGAUCAAAGUCAGGCGUGAAAUUCCUGGGCUCAACCUGGGGGCUGCGCUUGAUACUUGGUUGCUUGAGUGGGGAAGAGGGUCGUGGAAUUCCGAGUGUAGAGGUGAAAUUCGUAGAUAUUCGGAAGAACACCAGUGGCGAAGGCGGCUCACUGGACGACUGUUGACGCUGAGGUACGAAAGCGUGGGGGGCAAACAGGAUUAGAUACCCCUGUAGUCCCUGUCUCUAUACC
rnacentral:rRNA from 1 species